GCAGGCUGACCGUUGGGAUGGGCCUCCGUUUCUCUUGUGCUCAGCAAUGGAAACCAAUUGCCCAGGAAGCUUUGUUAAAGGCUGGGAGAGUACAAGAUGUCAAAUCAAAAAGACCAAGGAGUUUUCUUAGAAGGCUGUUUUAGAUAGAUAGAGAAGCAACAUGUGAAACGUUUUGAAACGAACUGGUUGUAGAUCUUCUAUACAUUGCGAUGCGGGCAAUUCUUUUUGCGAGGUUGUAGCGAGAAGGUAUUUGAUACCGAUUGUUCUGUGUGUUGUAGUA